rnacentral:lncRNA from 1 species
GUGCCAGCCUCUGCACAGCCUGAGCCCCAGGCAGGCCAAACUCACAGCCACAGCCCUGGCUUCGGGGUGGGGUCUCCAGGGUAAGAAGACAAGGAGCUGACCCUGGGAGACAACCCAGGAGAAGGGAACAGGAGAAGUGGGCGGGGGGAGAAAAACACAAAGGGAAAGUUUCCCAUGAAAAUAUUUUAUUUUCUUUGAGAACAGGAUACACCUGCAGGGCUUCUCGCCCAGUCUGCCUCUCCCCGCCCUGGCAGUGCCACAUUUCUGGGCCAACGGGGCCCUCUGCCGGCCAGGCCGCUGCGCGCCGCGCCUGGUCCACGGGAGAGGGAACAGGUGACAACGGGCGCAGGGCGGCAGCCCGGGACGGGCAUAAGGCACCCCGGACGGGGUCUGGGCGGGACUCGAGGGUGGCCUCAGCUCCAGGAGUGGCACGGGGGAGGGAGGUGGAGCGGCUGGGGAGGGCCGGAGGGCUGUCUACACGACGCCACACAAACCUCGGGGGCCCAUCUGCAGAGUACAGCGAGGGUCCCCAGAGCUCGCCUGGCAGGACAUCCCAGAUCUGGGAGCGAGGAACCAGGAAGGGCAGGAAAGAACGAUGGGGAGAGACGAGCCAAAACCACAAAAACUGCUGCUGCGGAGAAGCGCGCGGGGCAGCGACCCGGGAGGCGGCUGGAGGCAGCAUUCACAGCCCGCCCGGGCCCGGCGCACCAGAGAGGUCCCACAGACGCGCUCCCGCGGGUCGCGGCCCGAGCGAACGUCAGAAGCAAAGCGCAAGAAAAAUAAAAUUCCUCCAGCCUGGAGUUUUUUCCCCCUUUGGGGCUCAGUGCAAGGAACAUCUGGAUUUUGUACGUAUUUUUUUGUUGUUGUUAAAUUAACUUCUCGGGGAGAGAAAGGAGGGGGAAACUGCAAGGCGGGUGGGUGUGCAGGGGCCAGGGAGGCUCCAGACGUUUGGCUAGAAAUCCCAGCCAAAGACAGCCGAUAACCAGAGCUUGGUCCCGCAGCUGCAGGGAGCCUCGCGCACGGCCGCGGGCGCGGCCACAGGGACUACGGCUCCAGGGUCACGAAGGACCGGGGCCUCACGCCAGCCAGUCGGGCACGCCGGCCCCUCUCCGUGAGCCGUGCCACAGGGACACCGACUCCCGAACCCAGCGACGCGGGCGCCGCAAACAAACAGCUCCAGGCAACCCGGCGCCCCUCGCU